CAUUGUGCUUAUUGAAAAUAAACCCAGAAAAAGUCUAAAGGUGAUUGUUAUAUUUGCCAAAUAUAGUAGAGAGAAAACUUAAGCCAUAUAUUCAGUACAGUGUGUCUCAGUGUAGAAUGUGAAGAGCUGCUGGAUUCAGUGCAGCAGCAGGAUGAAGGAGAGCAGAGAACAGCACAGGAACAGGAAGCUCUGAGUGACGCUCUCAGCACCGUUACACAGGUUCCCCUCACAACAUGAGAUGCUCUGAACAUCAGGGACUGAUGUUGUGGCAUUACAAAUGGCUUCAGAGACACAGCCUUUUAGAACCAUUGACUUGCCUCCGAAACUCCCUGAUGAAAAGAAAGAUUCUCACCCGUUGCUUUAAGGCACUGGUCUUCACUCCCUGUACAGCUCAAUAUGUUUGAGCAGCUCUUCUCAUCACAAGAGUAACAUUUCUUUCCAUAGGAGCUGGACU